rnacentral:lncRNA from 1 species
UUUCAGCCUAGCACACUCCACAUUCUCAGACAUCGCUUCUUGAGAGUGUACUAACCAUCAACUAUCAUUUCACAAUGGAGAAGGGUAGGCUGGAACUUGGAUGUGCAUUGGCAGGUCUGCAUUGGCAGACCAGAUGUCACCAUACAGACAACAAUAUCCUACAGGACAGAAAAGCUUGAAAGUAAAAGAAACUUUGGUGUUUGAAUAAACCACACAUUUGUCCUGGACAACCUGCCUAUCGUUGAACUGUUACAUGAGAGAAAAAGAGAUUUCUCUCUUAUUUGAACAAUUGCAUUUUCAAGUCUUUUUGUUACAGCAGCAUAACUGAUACCCUAACCCUGACAAAUACAUUUUUAAACAAAAGGAGGAAUGCUACUAUCGUACUCUAUGCUGGUCCAGUCUUACUUGGGGUGCAGUAUUCUCAUCUGUGAAUCACAUUUCAAGGGGCCUAAAGACAAAGUAGAAGUGUUCAGAUAACAGCAACAUGAUUGGUGAGAAAUUCAAAGUUGAAGAAACUGGAAGAGCAGAUUUAGAGUAAGUAGGAGUGCCACUUUCAAAUGUCUGAGGAACUGGCCUGUGAAAGAAUGAUUCACUUUGUUCUGUGUAGUUUCAGUAGAUAGAAGUAUGGUUCAACGGGAAAACUGAUUUUGCUGAAGAGAAAGAUUUCUGGCUGUCAGGUCUGCAUAGACAUUGGAGGCACUGAGUUCCCUGCUCAUGGAGAUAUUUUUCACAGAGCCUGGAUAAUCAUUUGGCUGGAUUUGUAACAACUGUGUAUCAUACAGCAUGAAAAUGCAUUUUCUAGCUUCCCUUGAAGUGAAAUGUGAGCAAAAAUGAUGCCAGCCACUCCCAGACCGGCCCAUAGAAACCUCCCAUAUUCUUUCUUCUUCUGCUGCUGGAUAUUGACACAGGGGAUGACUUUGAAAGCUGAGUAUUGAAGAUGGCAGAAGCUGUCUUUCAGCCUUGGUCCCUGAACAACAUGUUGAGCAGAUCCCGUGGUAAUCUGGAACUGCCCUGGACUGUGUAAAGGAAUCAACUUCUUUAUACAACAAUGGCAGAGAAGUUCUACAAUAUGGAGUCCUGUGAUAAAAGGGGACUCCUGAGAGACUACUUGGUGUCUGCCUUGGAGCCAGAAACUCCUGACCACUCUCUGGCAAACUCAGGCGUGAUUCUUUCCUUGCUAAGCCUCAGUUUCUUCAUCUACAAAGGGAGG